GCCACAAGUGGGAGGGGCCAGGGCUCGGGAGGGGAUACCAAGCAAGCAGACAACUGGUGAUUUCCAGGUGAUCUAAGUGUGAUGAAGAAGUCAAGGGUUUUGGACGGUGAGGCCUUCUGUGACCUGUUCGCAUUGGGCUCUGGGACCUAUAGCACAAGAAGGAGCCAGUCCUGCCUACAGCAGAGGGGAAGAGACACAAAGAGAGCGGCAGAGACAUAGGCAGAGGGAGAAGCAGAACUUGAUCCAGGACCUCGGGAUCUCGACCUGAGCCAGAGGCAGACGCUCAACCCCUGAGCCACCGAGGCAUCCCUCUUUUAGAAUAAUUUAUCCCUACUUAAAGACGGUGGCCCCACAUGUAACAGCUACAUGCAAAAAAUUAUAAUUUAUAAAAUUUACAAAAUUAUAAAAUUGUCCUUGGUUGUACAAUGAUAAAUGAAAAACAUUAAAAUCUUCAGUCGAAGAAAGUCUGUAA